ACGUAUGACUACAUAUAUAAAUAUACAGGUAAAUAAUUUCCGUGCGCUGUCGAGCUCGGUUUUAUUAACUCUAGUUUACAAACGGCAUUGGUAUGGAAGGUAAUUACUUUGAUAAAAUCAACAACGACCUAUUACUCAACUAAAUGUUUAUAAUUAUGUAGUUAUUGAUUGGUUCCGUUGAGUAACAAGUUUAAAUAUUAUUUUAAGUAAUUAAAGAGUUAAAAAAGAGUUAUAUUUUCAUGCAUUAUUAUAAUUAUCAAUGUUAAAUUAAUAUAGAUCUAAAUAAUUUAAUUAAUUUAUAAAAAUAACUUUACUUUUUCUAAGUACAAUAAUUGUCAAGGAAAAAAGUCAACUAAUUGCAGACGAGAAAUAAUAUAAAACUUUUUCGAGGUUAAGAAAAGAAAAGUGAAGAUACGUAAAUAUAAAAAUUUGCAGCUGAUAACUAAUGUUGUCGAUUAAUUAUUGAAGAGCUUUAAAAUCUUAGUUCUUAUGUAAACAGACAAUAUUUAUUAUACGGAUACAUAUACAGGUAUGUGUAUGUAUACAUGGAGGGACAUUCUGAAACCCGGAGUUUGCAAUUAAUCCAGAACGAGUCGUUACACUAAGUUAUGAGAUGAAAAUUUAAAAAACAGUCCUCCAAGAUAACAGAAAAUAAGAGUUAAGAGUAAGAAUAUACGAAGGUGGCAUACAAAUCCAACACGUUUGAAUCUUUCAUUUGCUCUUUGCUUCCACCAUCACAGAGUGUUGAUUUAAUUCAAUGAGUUCCCGUCAUAAGUCACGAGUCUACUUUACCUGUUUCGCAUUACUCAAAUAUUUAACUUCUACGGAUAAAACAAAAAAAAUAAAUCUCUUAUUAAAAAAUGUUGAAAAUUUUUUAAGAUUAUCAUUAUAAUUUUCUUAAGAAGUAAAACUUUUAUUUAAGCUUAACACUUAAUACUUAUUUUUCCGAGUACGAAGCCUUCUGGGACUCACGUAAAUUUUCUAUGAAUAUUCAGCGAAUCGUUAAGUGUACAUAUAAUCUUCGAUACUUAAUCGAACUUGUUACAGAGUCAAGUAUACUACCAGCGAAUAAAUUACUGGGUAUUAAUUACAAGGAUUUAAUAAAGAUAUACAUAGUAGUGAAAGGAAUAAUAAUUAAGAAGAAAUUCGUAGAAUAAAA